GAUGAACGCUGGCGGCAUGCCUAAUACAUGCAAGUCGAACGAGAGAAACCAAGAAGCUUGCUUCAUGGUGGAUCUAGUGGCAAAUGGGUGAGUAACACGUGAAUAAUCUACCCUCAAGACAGGGAUAACUACUGGAAACAGUUUGUAAUACCUGAUAAUUACUCUGGAGGCAUCUCUGGAAGUAAAAAGUUUAGAUACGCUUGAGGAUGAGUUCGCGGUGUAUUAGUUAGUUGGUAAGGUAACGGCUUACCAAGACCAUGAUGCAUAGCCGGCCUGAGAGGGUGUACGGCCACACUGGGACUGAGACACGGCCCAGACUCCUACGGGAGGCAGCAGUGGGGAAUAUUGGACAAUGGGGGCAACCCUGAUCCAGCCAUGCCGCGUGUGUGAAGAAGGUCUUCGGAUUGUAAAGCACUUUAAGUUGUGAGGAAGGGUACGUGUAACGAGCGUACUUUGACGUUAGCAACAGAAUAAGCACCGG
rnacentral:rRNA from 1 species